rnacentral:lncRNA from 1 species
UUCACUAUCAAUCCAAACAAAUGCCAUCAUUCCCACAUCCUCCCGCGGCCAUGCAUACAUGACACAAGAGCACCAUCCAUCGUCGACUAGUUUUGCAGACCGCAAUCCAGACCCAUUGUCCAUACCCAACUCCUACAUAUCAUCUGCGCCUUCAAGUUCACCAGACCUGUCAAAUUCCAAUGAUGCUAAUUUCAAAGCCCUCGAAAUUCAGAUAGCGACUGCCAACCGCGACGCUCACCUUGCUGUCAAGAUAUCACAGAACAUCGCGAAGAAUCCAUCGACAAC